rnacentral:rRNA from 1 species
GACGAACGCUAGCUACAGGCUUAACACAUGCAAGUCGAGGGGAAACGGCAUUAAGUGCUUGCACUUUUUGGACGUCGACCGGCGCACGGGUGAGUAACGCGUAUCCAACCUUCCCAUGACUAAGGGAUAACCUGCCGAAAGGCAGACUAAUACCUUAUGGUCUUCACUGACGGCAUCAGAUGUGAAGUAAAGAUUUAUCGGUUAUGGAUGGGGAUGCGUCUGAUUAGCUUGUUGGCGGGGUAACGGCCCACCAAGGCAACGAUCAGUAGGGGUUCUGAGAGGAAGGUCCCCCACAUUGGAACUGAGACACGGUCCAAACUCCUACGGGAGGCAGCAGUGAGGAAUAUUGGUCAAUGGGCGAGAGCCUGAACCAGCCAAGUAGCGUGCAGGAUGACGGCCCUAUGGGUUGUAAACUGCUUUUGUAUGGGGAUAAAGUCAGUCACGUGUGAUUGUUUGCAGGUACCAUACGAAUAAGGACCGGCUAAUUCCGUGCCAGCAGCCGCGGUAAUACGGAAGGUCCGGGCGUUAUCCGGAUUUAUUGGGUUUAAAGGGAGCGUAGGCUGGAGAUUAAGUGUGUUGUGAAAUGUAGACGCUCAACGUCUGACUUGCAGCGCAUACUGGUUUCCUUGAGUACGCACAACGUUGGCGGAAUUCGUCGUGUAGCGGUGAGAUGCUUAGAUAUGACGAAGAAACUCCGAUUGCGAACGCAGCUGACGGGAGCGCAACUGACGCUGGAAGCUCGAAGGUGCGGGGUAUCAAAAAGGAUUAAAUACCCUUGUAGUACAAAGGCGAAUUCGAGGGCGGAUAUCAAGCUUAUCUGACACCUUCGACGGCCAAGGGGGGCCGGGGGCCCGGGAGUGGGGGUGUCACGCUGUGGGUGGUAUUCACGAAUCCUUUAAAAA